CAGCCGCCGCGGGAAUACGUAGGUCCCGAGCGUUGUCCGGAUUUAUUGGGCGUAAAGCGAGCGCAGGCGGUUAGAUAAGUCUGAAGUUAAAGGCUGUGGCUUAACCAUAGUACGCUUUGGAAACUGUUUAACUUGAGUGCAAGAGGGGAGAGUGGAAUUCCACGUGUAGCGGUGAAAUGCGUUGAGAUCGGAAAGAACACCAACGGCGAAAACACUCUGCUGGGCCGACACUGACACUGAGAGACGAAAGCUAGGGGAGCAAAUGGGAUUAGAUACCCCUGUAGUCCCUGUCUCUUAUACC
rnacentral:rRNA from 1 species